rnacentral:rRNA from 1 species
AAAGGUGGCUAUGCUACCGCUUUUGGAUGGGCCCGCGGCGCAUUAGCUAGUUGGUGGGGUAAAGGCUUACCAAGGCAAUGAUGCGUAGCCGAACUGAGAGGUUGAUCGGCCACAUUGGGACUGAGACACGGCCCAAACUCCUACGGGAGGCAGCAGUAGGGAAUCUUCCACAAUGGGCGAAAGCCUGAUGGAGCAGCGCCGCGUGGGUGAAGAAGGUCUUCGGAUCGUAAAACCCUGUUGUUAGAGAAGAAAGUGCGUGAGAGUAACUGUUCACGUUUCGACGGUAUCUAACCAGAAAGCCACGGCUAACUACGUGCCAGCAGCCGCGGUAAUACGUAGGUGGCAAGCGUUAUCCGGAUUUAUUGGGCGUAAAGGGAACGCAGGCGGUCUUUUAAGUCUGAUGUGAAAGCCUUCGGCUUAACCGGAGUAGUGCAUUGGAAACUGGGAGACUUGAGUGCAGAAGAGGAGAGUGGAACUCCAUGUGUAGCGGUGAAAUGCGUAGAUAUAUGGAAGAACACCAGUGGCGAAAGCGGCUCUCUGGUCUGUAACUGACGCUGAGGUUCGAAAGCGUGGGUAGCAAACAGGAUUAGAUACCCUGGUAGUCCACGCCGUAAACGAUGAAUGCUAAGUGUUGGAGGGUUUCCGCCCUUCA